rnacentral:misc_RNA from 1 species
UUUCCGUAGGUGAACCUGCGGAAGGAUCAUUAUUGUAUACCCGAGGUGCGAGGGCUGUCGCUGACCCGAAAGGUCGUGCACGCCCGAGUGCCCUCACACACAUCCAUCUCACCCCUAUGUGCACCACCGCGUGGGUCCCCCUUUGGCUUGUUCGGAGGGGGGCUUACGUUUUCACACAAACUUUGGAUGUAGUGUAGAAUGUAUUUUUUGUUUUUGCGAUCACGCAAUCAAUACAACUUUCAACAACGGAUCUCUUGGCUCUC